UGCAGUCGUACAAGGUAUCCCAAGCUUGCUGUUUCGCUGACGAGUGGCGGAGGGAUAAUAAUGUCUGGGAAACUGCCUGAUGGAGGGGGAUAACUACUGGAAACGGUAGCUAAUACCGCAUAACGUCGCAAGACCAAAGAGGGGGACCUUCGGGCCUCUUGCCAUCGGAUGUGCCCAGAUGGGAUUAGCUAGUAGGUGGGGUAACGGCUCACCUAGGCGACGAUCCCUAGCUGGUCUGAGAGGAUGACCAGCCACACUGGAACUGAGACACGGUCCAGACUCCUACGGGAGGCAGCAGUGGGGAAUAUUGCACAAUGGGCGCAAGCCUGAUGCAGCCAUGCCGCGUGUAUGAAGAAGGCCUUCGGGUUGUAAAGUACUUUCAGCGGGGAGGAAGGGAGUAAAGUUAAUACCUUUGCUCAUUGACGUUACCCGCACAAGAAGCACCGGCUAACUCCGUGCCAGCAGCCGCGGUAAUAC
rnacentral:rRNA from 1 species